AUCCAGCUAUUGAUACCUUUUUAGCAUAAAAAAAUUUAUAAUGCUUCAUAUUUUUAUUGAGUAGUUUCUCACAAAAAAAAUGCAUAUUUAUAAGUUACUUUCCUUUCCAAAUAAAGAACAUUAAUUUGCGCUCUUCUCUCUACAUACAAUGUACGUCAGUAGUCAUGUCAAGAAAACCUAAAGCUCAGACGAAGGCAGAUUAGGCGGGAUCACCAUCGGAGAAAAGGAACGGACCGAUAUCAAACUCUUAGGCCAAAAAUCUGCAGCCUAUUGAUUCAGUUCUAGGAAUAUCACUCUUAGAAAUUGAAAAUUAUUCGAAAUUUAGGAGGAAAUUAUUUCUCCGAGAUCUUCUGUGCAAUUACUUUAACAACAAGUGGAUUUGAGGGUUAAUUUCUCUGAUUGGCUGGCAAACAAUCAAGUUGGUGAGAGAAUGGCCUCGGAAGAUAGCAGGAGAAUUUUAAUCGGGUCAAAGGCACCAAAUAAGUUCAAGUUCGCCUUUGUGAAGCAUUACGACAUGAUUUUCGAGCAUAUUUGACUCUUCUUCCCAAUCACUUGGACAAUAAGCAUUUAUUUUCACUUGUAACUAUUAUUUAUUUUCAUUCUAAAUUUUUGCUUGGAUUUUUAUUUUGAUGCCCUCUUGUGAGAAUCUUUUGAACACAUUGAUUGAAUAAUUUUUAGAUUGUUGGAGUUUGUGUAUGGUUUUCGUGGUGUGUUUUGGCUCUUGGUACGAGACUUUGGUGUUGAAUGAUUGUUGGGGUUCGAUAUUGUUCUUUCUCUAAACUGGUUUCUGCAGUAAGAAUACGGCAAAUUCUAGCUUGGGGGAGGGAUAUUCUAUCCUUUAUUUGAUUUCUAGUAUAGAUUUUUUUUCCUUUCAUAGGAUGUUGCACGAUUUGUACCACUCACGAGGAGUGGGAGUUUACGUGUAACCAAAAAAAUUGUACUGCUUUCUUAGUUGCAUCUGCAUAUAUCAUCUUAUUUAGACUUCAUCUCAUUUUAGUUGCAUCUAUGGGACUAUUGCUGACACUUUUUGAGAACCUUGUUGAUAUCUUACUACAAUUCAAAAGUGUUACUCAUCAUGUUCAUGAUACUUUAUAGCACGAUUGUUUCGCAAUUGAUUGUUUGUGGUAAGAUUGAUUGAUCUCUAUCUGGCUCGAUUUAACGUUACUAUGCAGACACCUUAACCUAAGUGAGCUUUUGUGCCUGUAAACUGACGUAUUUGUGUCAGUUCUAUUUUUUCAUGUGUGAUUAGUUCCUUGUUGUUGCAUUGAUCUUGACUUUGACUUGGUACUCCUUAAUAUUUGAUAGUGCAUACAUUUUGAUAUGAUUGAGACGUUUCAUUUGAUGAUCUUAGUUCCAAAGUUAUUCUCAUUUUUGUAUUAUACUUCCUCUAAACCCGCUGAGCCUUUUCUGACUUUGUUUGAUUGAUGCCUACAUUACAAGCCAUUGGCCACAUUUGAUUCUUGUCUCAAGCCUAGCUUGGGGGAAUGAAUAUUAGUUUUGGUCUGGUUUGUAUUGGAUUGAAGUGCUCUAUUGGUGGUUUAGAAGGAUGGAAAAAUAUGCUUAGUGAGCUUGGAAAUUGAAUUGAAAGUUUUAAAAAAGGAAUGAAAAAUAUUGAAAAAUGAAAUGAAAAAGAAGUGAAAAAAAAGUUGUGAAUAAAGAGAAACAAAAUGGAUUAUGAUUGAAUUUUUUGAGUGAAAAGUGUAGUUGAUUAUAUUUGGAAAUCGAUGGUUGUUGCAUGGAGUUAUGACCUUUCAUGAUCAUGUUUUUGUUAUAUGAUGCUCCCCCAUAUUGGUUUUCUUCACCACAAUUUCCAAAUUAUUUUCCAUACCUUUAACCUCAGCCCCAUUAUACCCUUAAAAGUCCUAUUGAUCAUUAUGUAUUGUAUUGUUGAGUAUUAAGUGAGUCAAAAAGUCAAAGUUAAAGAGUAGUAUUUGCUUCAUCUGAGUCGACUUGAUUGGGUUGAGUGUCAUCAUUUAUGCUUUAAACACAUGAGAGAUUUGAACGCACAUGACUAUAGUGAGGUUUGUCAGGUUUGGUUAAAUCCAGUUUGAAAGAGAUGAUAUCUGGUAUGAUUAGAGAGUCGAUUGCGAUACAUGACAUGCUAUGCGCCUUUGUUUGAGGUUGUUUUUGAUGCUUAGUUUGUAUUGUGAUUAUAUCUCUCUUGUUUUCAAUUCAGUGUUUAGCUCUGUUGUAGUUCUAUAUUGUAGGUUGUCUUACUUUUUCUGUGUCUAUGUCUUAUUGCUUGAGGACAAACAAUGGUUUAGCUUGGGGGAGUUUUAUAAGUCAUAUUUAUAUAUUGUUUUUAGGUGCAUUUAGGUUGCAUUUUUAGAGCAUUUAGUUUCAUAUUUAGGUUCAUUGUUGCAUUAUAUUCUUAAGUUAUGCUUUUCUACUCCUAUUCAAUACGUUUUCUUAUUUUUGAUGAAUUUUAGGCAUUGAGGACGUAUUUGGAGUAUGAUUAGCUAAACUUGAGGAUUAGGAGCACUUGGAAGGAAGCUACAAUGCAUAAGGGUCGUCAUAGAUAUGUCAUAGUAUGAGUUUGAGCAAAAACAAAGAGGAAAAUCAUUAGAAUAAAUGUGAAAAGGAGUCACGUCUACUCUUCUGAUCAUAACUUUUUAUGUGCUUCUUAGAAUUGAAUAAUUCCAUCAUAUUUAGAAACUAGACUUGAAGAUAUUUCCAAUGAACUUCUAUUCAAGGGGUUAUGCCUUUCGGAAGAUUGCACUGAUCCUGUAGGAAUCUGCCACGCGUACGCGCGGAUCACUAUUCCGCCCAUUUAAUCAUAUAUUCAAAACUUUUCUUAUCUUGUAAA